AAUUUUUGUAGGCUUUAGUAGCCUCAACACAUCACAUUGCAAAUUCACUCUAAUUCUUUCUCUAUUUGGGCUAUAACAUAAGAUCAUUACUAUCAUUUUAAUUAUGACCACACCCCUUCAAUCAUGGUAAACCAUACUUUCUUCUUUUGCAUUUUGUCUAUAAUUACCAUAUUAUACUGUUCAAGAUUCAUCGUGUCCCCUUGUACUGACAUGGUUUUCCAACCACUUUCUUACACUAUGCUUUUACCCUCCCA
rnacentral:lncRNA from 1 species